UGGGGAAUAUUGGACAAUGGGCGCAAGCCUGAUCCAGCCAUGCCGCGUGAGUGAUGAAGGCCCUAGGGUUGUAAAGCUCUUUCACCGGUGAAGAUAAUGACGGUAACCGGAGAAGAAGCCCCGGCUAACUUCGUGCCAGCAGCCGCGGUAAUACGAAGGGGGCUAGCGUUGUUCGGAUUUACUGGGCGUAAAGCGCACGUAGGCGGACUUUAAGUCAGGGGUGAAAUCCCGGGGCUCAACCCCGGAACUGCCUUUGAUACUGGAAGUCUUGAGUAUGGUAGAGGUGAGUGGAAUUCCGAGUGUAGAGGUGAAAUUCGUAGAUAUUCGGAGGAACACCAGUGGCGAAGGCGGCUCACUGGACCAUUACUGACGCUGAGGUGCGAAAGCGUGGGGAGCAAACAGG
rnacentral:rRNA from 1 species